UUGACACGUGUUGCUGGACAUUCGUAGGAGAACGCACGAAAAAAUGAGUAAUAACUUUUCGUAACAUAUCAUACGAACCAUUGUAUGAGGAUACGUUAAUUGUGUAUGUUUAAUUUGUGACAUGUGGGCUUUUGUUUGAAUAUACUUGCAAUAACAAAGUCCUGUUUAUAGUCAUAAUAUAGCCUUAUAUUGAGGCUUAAAGUUAGGCAUCAUUGAGGGUGUGGCUGCUUUGAGUGCCAGCUGGGUGCCGUCUCAGGUUCUAGCUGCUAGCUGUCUGCUCUGCUACGUCACCCUAGCGACCUCAGCUCCACCGACGAUCCACCUAUUUUCCCUUUUUUGGAUUAGUGGGGAGUUUAGGCUGUGUCAUCACUGCAGAGUGGGUGAUGGCCGGAGCCACCCACUUUGAGCUUCACACCAGCUCUUCAUAAACCUAUAGGUGACGUCACAGAGACUACGUCCAUAUUUUAUACAGUCUAUGUUCCAAACCAGCUGUGAUGUCACAAAGUCAAGCCGAUACAAACACGCCUUAAACUCAGAUUUAAAGUGAGCACAGAGAGGCUUUCCCCCGUCCAGCAGAUGGGUGUGAAAACAGCCUCCAUAGUCAUGUGCACAUCCAUCAUUCUGCACAGGGGAGGUCAAGCAUCUAAGUAAAGUAACAAAAAGCAAAACACAUUUUUUUGGGUUAACUUUGCUUCUUCCUUUUACAAAGGUUAUGAUUUGAGUCCUUCUGCUUUGCUCGAGAGAAAGAAAGAAAGAAAAUGGUAUCGGUUUACAACAACAUUAGUUUUCUUCAGUAAAUAAAUGAAGGCACAGUAAUCAUACAGCGCUACAUCUUGCACUUCCACACCAUUGCUCUCAGAGGACGGGUCAUUGUAGAUCAAAAUCAGCGAGCAGUGGAGCCCAUGGGGAAACUGGAGCACACUCUUUCUUUAAUUGCGGUAAUUGCACCUAAUAAAUUACAAUUACAGGAGAAGCCGUGCGCUCUCCUCCACUACCCGCUGACUGUGAUCAACACUUUUCUGUGAGCUAACACCCCCUGGCUGGAUUGGGGGAGCAAAACCUUGGACUCUGCAGAAAAGAAAGAAGUGUGUGUGUGUGUGUGUGUGUGAGGAUGUGGUUCCUAUGGUAACUCAACCUGAAAAUAUGGAAACAAAUUCAAUUACUCUUUCUCUCGAUUUUUUUGCCCUUCACCGUUUUCUGAUCUCCAUUUUGUGUCUCUCUUCGUCGCAGUCCAGUCGCUCUUCCUCACCAGCUCUCUGUCUGGCGCUCGGUAAUAGAGGUGAUUUGGAACAGACUCCUGGGUAGGAAGUUGCGUCUAAAGCGGCCGCAGAUUUAGGCUCUAAAUGAAAGAAAGCGGGGAAACGAACACAUUCGCCAAUCUGUCAGAUGUCCGAUUUUGGCGGUCUGUGUGUGUGUGUAGGUGUGUGUGUGUGUGUUUGUUUGUUUAUGUUUUGGGCAAGGUUGGCUGUGCUGAGGAUGAGUGCAGUGAAGAGGAGUUAUUUUACAGCUCCGAGGCAAUAAAGCAGAAAAUGUUGUGGAGCGCGCCAAAUCAUGGUCAGUGCGUGUGUGUGUGUGUGUGUGUGUGUGUGUGUGUGUGUGUGUGUGUUAGCAUUGGAAAUAUUGCAAGCCUUAAAACAGUUCUUUCUUCUUUUCCUUUCUGUCUUUCUUCCUGAACCUCAAACCCAC